rnacentral:rRNA from 1 species
AUACGGAGGGGGCUAGCGUUGUUCGGAAUUACUGGGCGUAAAGGGCGCGUAGGCGGCCCGUCCAGUCAGGCGUGAAAGCCCCGGGCUCAACCUGGGAACGGCGCUUGAUACGGGCGAGCUCGAGUCCGGGAGAGGAUGGCGGAAUUCCCAGUGUAGAGGUGAAAUUCGUAGAUAUUGGGAAGAACACCGGUGGCGAAGGCGGCUACCUGGACCGGACCUGACGCUGAGGUGCGAAAGCGUGGGGAGCAAACAGGAUUAGAAACCCCAGUAGUCC